rnacentral:rRNA from 1 species
UACGGGGGGGGCAAGCGUUGUUCGGAAUUACUGGGCGUAAAGGGCUCGUAGGUGGCCAACUAAGUCAGACGUGAAAUCCCGGGGCUCAACCUCGGAACUGCCUUUGAUACUGCAAAUCUCGAGUCCGGAAGAGGUGAGUGGAAUUCCUAGUGUAGAGGUGAAAUUCGUAGAUAUUAGGAAGAACACCAGUGGCGAAGGCGGCUCACUGGUCCGGUACUGACGCUGAGGUGCGAAAGCGUGGGGAGCAAACAGG